GUCGGAGUGGCGGAAUAGGCAGACGCGCACGUUUGAGGGGCGUGUGGGGUAACCCGUGGGGGUUCAAGUCCCCCCUCCGACACCA
rnacentral:tRNA from 1 species